CCUGGCUCAGGAUGAACGCUAGCGGCAGGCUUAACACAUGCAAGUCGAGGGGCAUCGGGAGUAGCAAUACUGCCGGCGACCGGCGCAAGGGUGCGUAACGCGUGAGCAACAUGCCCGUAUCAGGGGGAUAAUCCAUGGAAACGUGGUCUAAUACCCCAUAGUAAUUAUGUAAGGCAUCUUAUAUAAUUUAAAGCUUUGGUGGAUACGGAUUGGCUCGCGUGACAUUAGGCUGGAUGGUAAGGUAACGGCUUACCAUGGCUACGAGUGUCUAGGGGUUCUGAGAGGAAGGUCCCCCACACUGGAACUGAGACACGGUCCAGACUCCUACGGGAGGCAGCAGUGAGGAAUAUUGGACAAUGGAUGGAAAUCUGAUCCAGCCAUGCCGCGUGCAAGGAAGACGGCCCUAUGGGUUGUAAACUGCUUUUGUAUGGGAGCAAUAAGGGCUACGUGUAGUCCGAUGAGAGUACCAUACGAAUAAGCACCGGCUAACUCCGUGCCAGCCGCGGC
rnacentral:rRNA from 1 species